AGAGGUCAGCUCCUAGCCAGGGAUCUUGCCUCUUUGCUGCUUGCGGCCAGGACUAAGCAAGAGCCAGGCCCCCCCAACCCCGGCCGUGCAGAAAAGACUCCACUGGAGACGCAAAUCGCUCGUCCGCGCCGCCACUGCCGCCGCUGCCUCCGUCGCUGGAGUGAGAGGCGCACGAUCCCAGCGCACUGCGGAUUCCGCCCGAGGCUUCUAGCACCCAAGUAAUUCGCUCCAAUCUCUCCGGAACCCUUGGAGCUGGCGCCCCUCGCCCGCGCGCCCCUCUCACGGUGCUGCAGCCGCCACCGCCGCGCUCAAGUCUGGCCCCAGAUGUUUCCAACAGCAGCGCCGUCCAGUAAUUACGAGGGCUCGACUGGCGCCGAGUGUGCCCGGCCGGCAUCCGAGGUCCGACCUCCUCCAGCCGAGCCCUUCACACCUCCCUUUUUUCUUAGCGCUUUCCCG
ensembl:antisense Gm42802 predicted gene 42802